rfam:Gossypium arboreum cultivar AKA8401 contig_65635_1, whole genome shotgun sequence.
AUUCCGUGAUGAUGGCAUUUUCAUAACAAUUCUUUAAAUCUUUCCCAUGACUCAUAUAAGGACUCGUCAUCCAUCUUUUGGAAGGUAGUAGCCUUAUUUUGCAACU